rnacentral:rRNA from 1 species
GAAAGGCCAAUCAAACCGGGAGAUAGCUGGUUUCUCCCGAAAGCUAUUUAGGUGCCGCCUCGUGAAUUCAUCUCGGGGUAGAGCACUGUUUCGGCAAGGGGUAUCCCGACUUACCAACCCGAUGCAAACUGCGAUACCAGUGGAGAAUGUUAUCACGGGAGACACACGGCGGGUGCUAACGUCCGUCGUGAAGAGGAACAAACCCAGACCGCCAGCUAAGGUCCCAAGUCCAUGUUAAGUGCGGAAACGAUGUGGGAAGGCCAGACAGCCAGGAUGUUGCUUAGAAGCAGCCAUCCAUUUAAAGAAAGCGUAAUAGCUCACUGGUCGAGUCGGCCUGCGCGGAAGAUGUAACGGGGCUAAACCAUGCACACCGAAGCUGCGGCAGCGACGCUUAUGCGUUGUUGGGUAGGGGAGCCGUUCUGUAAGCUGCGAAGGUGUGCUGUGAGGCAUGCUGGAGGUAUCAGAAGUGCGAAUGCUGACAUAAGAACGAUAAAGCGGGUGAAAAGCCCGCUCGCCGGAAGACCAAGGGUUCCUGUCCAACGUUAAUCGGGGCAGGGUGAGUCGACCCCUAAGGCGAAGGCCGAAAGGCGUAGUCGAUGGGAAAACAGGUUAAUAUUCCUGUACUUGGUGUUACUGCGAAGGGGGGACGGAGAAGGCUAUGUUGGCCGGGCGACGGUUGUCCCGGUUUAAGCGUGUAGGCUGGUUUUCCAGGCAAAUCCGGAAUAUCAAGGCUGAGGCGUGAUGACGAGGCACUACGGUGCUGAAGCAACAAAUGCCCUGCUUCCAGGAAAAGCCUCUAAGCAUCAGGUAACAUCAAAUCGUACCCCAAACCGACACAGGUGGUCAGGUAGAGAAUACCAAGGCGCUUGAGAGAACUCGGGUGAAGGAACUAGGCAAAAUGGUGCCGUAACUUCGGGAGAAGGCACGCUGAUAUGUAGGUGAAGUCCCUCGCGGAUGGAGCUGAAAUCAGUCGAAGAUACCAGCUGGCUGCAACUGUUUAUUAAAAACACAGCACUGUGCAAACACGAAAGUGGACGUAUACGGUGUGACGCCUGCCCGGUGCCGGAAGGUUAAUUGAUGGGGUUAGCGCAAGCGAAGCUCUUGAUCGAAGCCCCGGUAAACGGCGGCCGUAACUAUAACGGUCCUAAGGUAGCGAAAUUCCUUGUCGGGUAAGUUCCGACCUGCACGAAUGGCGUAAUGAUGGCCAGGCUGUCUCCACCCGAGACUCAGUGAAAUUGAACUCGCUGUGAAGAUGCAGUGUACCCGCGGCAAGACGGAAAGACCCCGUGAACCUUUACUAUAGCUUGACACUGAACAUUGAGCCUUGAUGUGUAGGAUAGGUGGGAGGCUUUGAAGUGUGGACGCCAGUCUGCAUGGAGCCGACCUUGAAAUACCACCCUUUAAUGUUUGAUGUUCUAACGUUGACCCGUGAUCCGGGUUGCGGACAGUGUCUGGUGGGUAGUUUGACUGGGGCGGUCUCCUCCUAAAGAGUAACGGAGGAGCACGAAGGUUGGCUAAUCCUGGUCGGACAUCAGGAGGUUAGUGCAAUGGCAUAAGCCAGCUUGACUGCGAGCGUGACGGCGCGAGCAGGUGCGAAAGCAGGUCAUAGUGAUCCGGUGGUUCUGAAUGGAAGGGCCAUCGCUCAACGGAUAAAAGGUACUCCGGGGAUAACAGGCUGAUACCGCCCAAGAGUUCAUAUCGACGGCGGUGUUUGGCACCUCGAUGUCGGCUCAUCACAUCCUGGGGCUGAAGUAGGUCCCAAGGGUAUGGCUGUUCGCCAUUUAAAGUGGUACGCGAGCUGGGUUUAGAACGUCGUGAGACAGUUCGGUCCCUAUCUGCCGUGGGCGCUGGAGAAUUGAGGGGGGCUGCUCCUAGUACGAGAGGACCGGAGUGGACGCAUCACUGGUGUUCGGGUUGUCAUGCCAAUGGCACUGCCCGGUAGCUAAAUGCGGAAGAGAUAAGUGCUGAAAGCAUCUAAGCACGAAACUUGCCCCGAGAUGAGUUCUCCCUGACUCCUUGAGAGUCCUGAAGGAACGUUGAAGACGACGACGUUGAUAGGCCGGGUGUGUAAGCGCAGCGAUGCGUUGAGCUAACCGGUACUAAUGAACCGUGAGGCUUAACCU